GGGAUAGAAACAUACGUGUAUAUGUCUAGUUUGAUAUAAAAAAAAUAGUAUAUUAAAUUAUUUUCAUUUGAUUUUUAUUUAAUCAAAAUUCAACGAUAAUUUUCCUUACAUUUUUAUUUCAAUAAACAUUAAGUAUGCAUUUAAUCUGAAAUAUAUAAUAAACAUUAAGUAUGCAUUUAAUCUGAAAUAUAUGUUUAACUAAUUUAUUAAGUAUACGAUAUGUAACGAUAUAGCGUAAAUAUUUAUAUAUAGAUUCCAGAGACACUACGCGACAAUAUUAACACGUAUGUAUUUAUAAGAAAAUUUAUAUAUUUACAAGACUUUUAUUUUCCGUCGGAAGCGGCGUGUCGUCACAUCCGGGCACCGGUUGUUGACAGAGCGCUGAUUCUUUCUGCUGCGGUGCGAACCGAUCGAGAUUACACUGUAAAUAAGAGCUGCUCUUCAGAACAGACACACAUCGAAUAAACAGAAUCCGGUUUAACUGAGCUGCUGUUACAGAUGAAGGUGUUUACAAAGAGGAUCCCGAUAUACAGCAGACAAUACUGUCAACAGACAGAACACAAACACCGCGGUUUAGACACGAAGUGUUAAAUAUAAACCAGACGAAUCAGAACUAUGUGUACAAUCCCCUCGGAAUAUAUUAAUAUAAUAAACCUCGGAAUAUGUUACUAUCAUAAACCUCGGAAUAUGUUACUAUCAUAAACCUCGGAAUAUGUUACUAUCCAUAACCUCGGAAUAUGUUACUAUCAUAAACCUCGGAAUAUGUUACUAUCAUAAACCUCGGAAUAUGUUACUAUCAUAAACCUCGGAAUAUGUUACUAUCAUAAAAUAUUCUAUCAUAAACCUCAGAAUAUGUUAAUAUAAUAAACCUGAAGUUCGGGGUGUGGAAGUGAUAUAUAUAUAAUGUAAUGUUUUAUUCUUUUAUUUUUCAGGAUUCUUUGACGAAUAAAAAGUGUAAAAGAACAGCAUUUAUUUAAAAUAGAAUUUUUUUCUAACAAUAUAAGUAUUUAAUAUCACUUUUUAUCAUUUUAGCAUAUUGUUGCUGAAUAAAAGCAAUAAUUUCUCUCAAUAAAAGAAAAGAAAAAGAAAGUUAUUUUAAACUGUAAUAAUAUUUCACAAU
rnacentral:lncRNA from 1 species